rnacentral:rRNA from 1 species
ACGCGAAGAACCUUACCUGGGCUCGAAAUGUAGUCGACCGUCUCAGAGAUGAGGCCUUCCCGCAAGGGACGGCUGCAUAGGUGCUGCAUGGCUGUCGUCAGCUCGUGUCGUGAGAUGUUGGGUUAAGUCCCGCAACGAGCGCAACCCUCACCCUUAGUUGCUCGUCCGUAAGGAAAGCACCCUAAGGGAACUGCCUCGGAUAACGGGGAGGAAGGUGGGGAUGACGUCAAGUCCUCAUGGCCUUUAUGUCCAGGGCUACACACGUGCUACAAUGGCCGGUACAAAGCGUCGCGAACCCGCAAGGGGGAGCCAAUCGCAAAAAGCCGGUCUCAGUUCGGAUUGCAGGCUGCAACUCGCCUGCAUGAAGCUGGAAUCGCUAGUAAUCGCGUAUCAGAACGACGCGGUGAAUACGUUCCCGGGCCUUGUA